rnacentral:SRP_RNA from 1 species
CGUCGGGACGGUUGGGCGUUCAGGAUUGUGAAUUCGGUCAGGUUUGGAAAAAAGCAGCCGUAGCGAAUACCGAAUGGGUCGAUUGUCCCGGUGCAU